rnacentral:rRNA from 1 species
AUGGUCGAGGGCAGGAAGGCUGUCAAGUUCGCAGAGCCGAUCGUCCAAGGCACCCCUGAGGAGAUUUCUCCGUCACUUGAUGAAGUUUACCGCAGGAUUGAGGAGGCAACAUUGCAGAGGAGGUCCUCACGAGGUCAGGGGCAAUCAAGUUCCAACGUGCCUGCUGAGACGAUAUCUGAGGAUACCAUUAGAAGUGCCACCCCUAGUUCUGUGAGGCAGCAGAGGGUAGUUCACCCACCUCCCGCGGAUGACUACAAGCCCGAAGUCAAGGCCACAAAGGAGCAGAACCAGCUGUACGAUAUUAUCAAGCGAUUUGGAAAUGCGAGGGCCAGCAGCAAGCACAUGAAGGAGCUGAAAGCGUAA